rnacentral:rRNA from 1 species
AUGAACGCUAGCGGCAGGCUUAACACAUGCAAGUCGAACGGUAACAUAGAAGCUUGCUUCUGAUGACGAGUGGCGCACGGGUGCGUAACGCGUAUGCAACCUACCUUUUACAGAGGGAUAGCCCAGAGAAAUUUGGAUUAACACCUCAUAGUAUUAUUGAUUGGCAUCGAUUAAUAAUUAAAACUACGGUGGUAAAAGAUGGGCAUGCGUUCUAUUAGCUAGUUGGUGUGGUAACGGCAUACCAAGGCAACAAUAGAUAGGGGCCCUGAGAGGGGGAUCCCCCACACUGGUACUGAGACACGGACCAGACUCCUACGGGAGGCAGCAGUGAGGAAUAUUGGUCAAUGGAGGGAACUCUGAACCAGCCAUGCCGCGUGCAGGAUGACUGCCCUAUGGGUUGUAAACUGCUUUUAUACAGGAAGAAACACUAGUACGUGUACUAGCUUGACGGUACUGUAAGAAUAAGGAUCGGCUAACUCCGUG